rnacentral:rRNA from 1 species
AUUGAACGCUGGCGGCAGGCUUAACACAUGCAAGUCGAGCGGGGGAAGGUAGCUUGCUACUGGACCUAGCGGCGGACGGGUGAGUAAUGCUUAGGAAUCUGCCUAUUAGUGGGGGACAACAUCUCGAAAGGGAUGCUAAUACCGCAUACGUCCUACGGGAGAAAGCAGGGGAUCUUCGGACCUUGCGCUAAUAGAUGAGCCUAAGUCGGAUUAGCUAGUUGGUGGGGUAAAGGCCUACCAAGGCGACGAUCUGUAGCGGGUCUGAGAGGAUGAUCCGCAACACUGGGACUGAGACACGGCCCAGACUCCUACGGGAGGCAGCAGUGGGGAAUAUUGGACAAUGGGGGGAACCCUGAUCCAGCCAUGCCGCGUGUGUGAAGAAGGCCUUAUGGUUGUAAAGCACUUUAAGCGAGGAGGAGGCUACUUUAGUUAAUACCUAGAGAUAGUGGACGUUACUCGCAGAAUAAGCACCGGCUAACUCUGUGCCAGCAGCCGCAGUAA